rnacentral:piRNA from 1 species
UACUUUGGGAAAGUUGGUAUGAAGCA